UCUCCGUUGGUGAACCAGCGGAGGGAUCAUUACAGGACUCGCAUGACUCCUACAACCCUGUGAACUUAACUAUAAGCACGUUGCUUCGGCGGGUGUCUCGGAGGGGGUUCUCCCUCCCCGAGACGCUAAACCCGCCGGCAGCCUACUAUACUCUGUCUCAUUGCGUUGGCAUCUCGAGUACAAUCAAACAAGUUAAAACUUUCAACAACGGAUCUCUUGGUUCUGGCACGAUGAAGAACGCAGC
rnacentral:misc_RNA from 1 species